ensembl:lncRNA
AUUUUCACAUUUAUGAUUUUUUUUAACUUAUCUUUAUUAUUCCCAAUAAAAAUUUUGAAUACAAAUGAGAAAAAAAUAGUCCAAGUACUUAAAUAUGUAUUUACCCAAAUGGGUUGAUUAAGUUUAUGAAUUAUAAUAACCAUAAAACAACAUAUACAUAUGUAUAUAUAUACAUAAUUAUACUUUAUUUGUUUUAAUAGUAUAAAUAAAUAAAUAUUAUGCAAUAUAUAUAUUUAGCUUAUAUAUAAUGUACGUGAAUAUUAACAUUUUUUUUUUAUGAUGCUUUGGUUUACAUAUAGUUAAUAUCGGAAGACACUAACAUAAAUGACUUGGAACAUAUACAGACCAUUCUUAAAAAUGUAGAACAAAGCGAAGUUGAUAAUUUAAAAAUUUUUAACAUAGAAAAUAUAAUAUUUGAGUUAUCAGAUGAAAUCAUAAGACAAAUAACGAUUGAAUGUUCUAAGCGUGGCUAUGCCUUAAUACUGAUAAAUAAUGAAAUACAAAAAAAUAUUUAUUAUUAUAAAAGUUUAAUAGAAAUUAUUGAGCAUAAUAAUAAUAUAAACAAGGAAAAUUUUAAAAAAUCCGAAGAAGAAUAUAAAAUUGUGUUAGAACAAUUGUCUUUAGAAGAAAAUGAAUUAAAUGACAAAUUAGAUGAAUUGCAACAUGAGCUUCAAUUAUUAAAAAAUGAAAAUGCAAAGAAAAUGCAAGAAAAUAAAAAUAAGCAAGAGAUACAGUAUGAUUUGUUGAAGCAUAAUGAAUCAUUGCUUGAAAAAAUUCAAGCAUGUUAUGAUAAAAAAGGAGAGUUUUAAAAAAAGUUAAAAAAAAAAAGAAUGAAAAAAAAAAAACCUUUGUAUGAAUGAGUAUAAACGGGUAUGUGCGCAUCUGGCUUAUAUCUAAGCCAUUUUUUUUUUUUUUUUUUUUGUGAUAAAAAACAUUUAACAGACAUUUUAAGAUAUAUUUUUAUGCUGUUUAUCUAUUUAUUUAUUCACAUAUUUAUCUGUUUUAUUCAAUUCAAUUUUUUUCAUUCUUUCUCAAUACAGACUUCUGCAUUUUUAUUUUAUUACACUAAACAAGGUUUAAAUCUUUAAAAACAAAAUAUAUGAAUCUUUACUUGUUUAUAGCUUGGAUAAAGCUUCACGCAUGUUUUCAAUUUUGUUUUUAUUUUCAAUGAUUAAUUUUUCUUCAUUAAAAAUAUUUUGGACAAUAGUUGCUCGAUCUUUUAAUAUAUAGUAAUACUUUUCCACAAAAACUGAGAAUGUCUAAAUAUUAAAAAAAAAAAAUAAUAAACAUACGUAUACACAUAAAUAUUAUAUAUAU